GACGAACGCUGGCGGCGUGCUUAACACAUGCAAGUCGAACGGAGUUACGUAUGAAGUAUUUCGGUACGGACUAUGUAACUUAGUGGCGAACGGGUGAGUAACACGUGGGCAACCUGCCCUUAACCGGGGGAUAACAUUGUGAAAACAGUGCUAAUACCGCAUAACAGAGUAUCGGGCAUCCGAUAUUUUUAAAAGGAGCAAUCCGGUUUAGGAUGGGCCCGCGUCCAAUUAGCUAGUUGGUGAGGUAACGGCUCACCAAGGCUACGAUUGGUAGCCGAACUGAGAGGUUGAUCGGCCACAUUGGGGCUGAGACACGGCCCAGACUCCUACGGGAGGCAGCAGUGGGGAAUAUUGGGCAAUGGGCGAAAGCCUGACCCAGCGACGCCGCGUGAAGGAUGAAGGUCUUCGGAUUGUAAACUUCUUUGAUCAGGGAAGAAAGAAAUGACGGUACCUGAAGAACAAGCCACGGCUAACUACGUG
rnacentral:rRNA from 1 species